AUUGAACGCUGGCGGCAUGCCUUACACAUGCAAGUCGAACGGUAAGGCCCUUCGGGGUACACGAGUGGCGAACGGGUGAGUAACACGUGGGUGAUCUGCCCUGCACUUCGGGAUAAGCCUGGGAAACUGGGUCUAAUACCGGAUAGGACCCUGGGAUGCAUGUCCUGGGGUGGAAAGCUUUUGCGGUGUGGGAUGGGCCCGCGGCCUAUCAGCUUGUUGGUGGGGUGAUGGCCUACCAAGGCGACGACGGGUAGCCGGCCUGGGAGGGUGACCGGCCAGACUGGGACUGAGAUACGGCCCAGACUCCUACGUGAGGCAGCAGUGGGGAAUAUUGCACAAUGGGCGCAAGCCUGAUGCAGCGACGCCGCGUGAGGGAUGACGGCCUUCGGGUUGUAAACCUCUUUCAGCACCGACGAAGCGCAAGCGACGGUAGGUGCAGAAGAAGGACCGGCCAACUACGUGCCAGCCGCCGCAGUAAAAC
rnacentral:rRNA from 1 species